rnacentral:rRNA from 1 species
GUGAAAAGCCCGCUCGCCGUAAGCCCAAGGUUUCCUGCUCUACGUUCAUCGGAGCAGGGUGAGUCGGCCCCUAAGGCCAGGCUGAGAAGCGUAGUCGAUGGGAAGCAGAUUAAUAUUUCUGCACCAUGUGCAAGUGCGAUGGGGGGACGGAGUGCGAAAGAUCAUCCGGGUGUUGGAUGUCCCGGUUUGUGAGUGUAGAAGGCCGACAGGCAAAUCCGUCGGCGGAUCUUCGAGACAAAGCAUCGAGGUUCUACGGAACCGAAGUGAUCGGAAGUGCUUCCAGGAAAAGCCUCUAAGCUUCAGCUUGUACAUGACCGUACCGUAAACCGACACUGGUGGGCGAGUUGAAUAUACUCAGGCGCUUGAGAGAACUCGGGAGAAGGAACUCGGCAAAUUGACACCGUAACUUCGGGAUAAGGUGUGCCUUUGUAGCGUGAAGAGAGAAACACUCGGAGCGUGAAGAGGCCUCAGAGAAUCGGUGGCUGCAACUGUUUAUUAAAAACACAGCACUCUGCAAAGACGAAAGUCGACGUAUAGGGUGUGAUGCCUGCCCGGUGCUGGAAGAUUAAGUGAUGGGGUGAGAGCUCCUGAUCGAAGUCCCAGUAAACGGCGGCCGUAACUAUAACGGUCCUAAGGUAGCGAAAUUCCUUGUCGGGUAAGUUCCGACCUGCACGAAUGGCAUAAUGAUGGCCACACUGUCUCCUCCCGAGACUCAGUGAAGUUGAAGUGUUUGUGAUGAUGCAAUCUCCCCGCGGCUAGACGGAAAGACCCCAUGAACCUUUACUGUAGCUUUGCAUUGGACUUUGAACCGAUUUGUGUAGGAUAGGCGGGAGGCAGAGAAAGCGCAACGCCAGUUGUGCCGGAGCCGACGUUGAAAUACCGCCCUGAUUUGUUUGAGGUUCUAACCGCGACCCGUGAGCCGGGUCCGGGACCGUGCAUGGCAGGCAGUUUGACUGGGGCGGUCUCCUCCUAAAGGGUAACGGAGGAGUACAAAGGUACGCUAGGUACGGUCGGAAAUCGUGCUGAUAGUGCAAAGGCAAAAGCGUGCUUGACUGCGAGACCGACAAGUCGAGCAGAUGCGAAAGCAGGUCUUAGUGAUCCGGUGGCUCUGUAUGGAAGGGCCAUCGCUCAACGGAUAAAAGGUACUCUGGGGAUAACAGGCUGAUACCGCCCAAGAGUUCAUAUCGACGGCGGUGUUUGGCACCUCGAUGUCGGCUCAUCUCAUCCUGGGGCUGUAGCCGGUCCCAAGGGUAUGGCUGUUCGCCAUUUAAAGAGGUACGUGAGCUGGGUUUAAAACGUCGUGAGACAGUUUGGUCCCUAUCUGCCGUGGGCGCUGGAAGAUUGACGGGGGCUGCUCCUAGUACGAGAGGACCGGAGUGGACGCACCUCUGGUGUACCGGUUGUCACGCCAGUGGCAUCGCCGGGUAGCUAUGUGCGGAAGAGAUAACCGCUGAAAGCAUCUAAGCGGGAAACUUGCCUGAAGAUAAGUCUUCCCGGAGGCUAGACCUCCCUGAAGAGUCGUUCGAGACCAGGACGUUGAUAGGUCGGGUGUGUAAGCGUUGUGAGACGUUUAGCUAACCGAUACUAAUUGCUCGUGAGGCUUGAUCCU